rnacentral:rRNA from 1 species
GUGAGGAAUAUUGGUCAAUGGGCGAGAGCCUGAACCAGCCAAGUAGCGUGCAGGAAGAAUGUCCUAUGGAUUGUAAACUGCUUUUAUACGGGAAUAAAGUUCACCACGUGUGGUGAUUUGCAUGUACCGUAUGAAUAAGGAUCGGCUAACUCCGUGCCAGCAGCCGCGGUAAUACGGAGGAUCCGAGCGUUAUCCGGAUUUAUUGGGUUUAAAGGGAGCGCAGGUGGGCGUGUAAGUCAGUUGUGAAAGUUCGUGGCUCAACCACGGAAUUGCAGUUGAAACUGCAUGCCUUGAGUGCGGUAGAGGUAGGCGGAAUUCAUGGUGUAGCGGUGAAAUGCUUAGAUAUCAUGAAGAACCCCGAUUGCGAAGGCAGCUUACUGGACCGUAACUGACACUCAUGCUCGAAAGUGCGGGUAUCAAACAGGAUUAGAAACCCUAGUAGUCC